ACCGACUAGCUAGCCCGACCUAAACCAAAAGCAACAAAACACACUAACUAAACCCAGAAACACUAAUUGCCCACAUAAACAAACCAUUUUUCCCCCUCAGUAUGGGUGACAGAAAAGGACCAUUGGCGCGAUAGAUAAGAGUACCGCAAGGGAACGCUGAAAAACAAAUGAAAUAAACAAGUGAAGCCCAAAAAAGCAGAGCUUACAUCUCGUACCUUUUGCAUCAUGAUUUAGCCAGUGCCAACCCAAGCAAAAUGAAUUUUAGUUUGAUAACCCGAAACUAAGUGAGCUACUCCAAGACAGCCUAACACAAUAGGGCCAACCCGUCUCUGUGGCAAAAGAGUGGGAAGAACUUUGAGUAGAGGUGAUAAACCUACCGAACUUAGUAAUAGCUGGUUGCCCAAGAAUUGGAUAGAAGUUCAGCCUCCCGGCUUCUUUCUUCCCUAACCCCUUCUGCUUCCACAGAUACCCACGAGAUAACCGAGAGAGUUAGUCAAAGGGGGUACAGCCCCUUUGAAACAAGAUACAACUUUUACAGGAGGAAAAAGAUCAUAAUAAUUUAAGGCAGAAUAUUAUGGUGGGCCUAAAAGCAGCCAUCCCUACAAAAAGCGUUAAAGCUCAGACACAUUACCUUAUAAAGCCCUGAGUCUCGAUAACCUAUUCUUACUCCCCUUGUAUUACUGGGCCGUCCCAUGCUUACAUGGGAGCGACCCUGCUAAAAUGAGUACACAAGAGACACUUAACGUGUCCCUCCUUGCACACGUGUAAAUCGGAGACGGACAAUCCGCCGAAUCUUAACGGACUCAAAUACAGAGAGCAUUGGACUAUACAUAAGAUCAAUCAAGAAAAACACCCAAACUAAUUAACCGUUACCCCUACACAGGCGUGCUUUAAAGGAAAGACUAAAAGAAAGAGAAGGAACUCGGCAAACAUACUCAGCCUCGCCUGUUUACCAAAAACAUCGCCUCUUGCCUAACCAAAAAUAUAAGAGGUCCCGCCUGCCCUGUGACUAUAUGUUUAACGGCCGCGGUAUUUUGACCGUGCGAAGGUAGCGCAAUCACUUGUCUUUUAAAUGGAGACCUGUAUGAAUGGCAUAACGAGGGCUUGACUGUCUCCUUUUUCAAGUCAGUGAAAUUGAUCUCCCCGUGCAGAAGCGAGGAUAGGUACAUAAGACGAGAAGACCCUAUGAAGCUUUAGACACUAAAGCAGAUCAUUAAUCAUCUUCCUGAUUAUCAGGGUAUAAGUCAAAUGACACCUGUCCUACUGUCUUUGGUUGGGGCGACCGCGGAGAAAUAAAAAACCCCCGCAUGGACUAAACGUAUGACGUUUAGAACUAAGAGCUACGGCUCUAAUUGACAGAACUUCUGACCGGUAAAGAUCCGGCGUAACGCCGAUCAAUGAACCGAGUUACUCUAGGGAUAACAGCGCAAUCUCCUCUUAGAGCCCAUAUCGACGAGGAGGCUUACGACCUCGAUGUUGGAUCAGGACAUCCUAAUGGUGCAGCCGCUAUUAAGGGUUCGUUUCGUUCAACGAUUAAAGUCCUACGUGAUCUGAGUUCAGACCGGAGUAAUCCAGGUCGGUUUCUAUCUAUGACACGAUCUUUUCUAGUACGAAAGGACCGAAAAGAGGGGGCCUCUACUAAAGGCAUGCCUUACCCUUACCUAAUGUAUUCAACUUAACCAGCCAAAAGGGCGUAAACCCUUUUGUCUGAGAAAACGACGC
rnacentral:rRNA from 1 species